CGGGGCCAAUGGUUCGGACGACAAGACAGAUGGGAGCUUGCUCCCUGAUGUUAGCGGCGGACGGGUGAAAAACACGUGGGUAACCUGCCUGUAAGACUGGGAUAACUCCGGGAAACCGGGGCUAAUACCGGAUGGUUGUUUGAACCGCAUGGUUCAAACAUAAAAGGUGGCUUCGGCUACCACUUACAGAUGGACCCGCGGCGCAUUAGCUAGUUGGUGAGGUAACGGCUCACCAAGGCAACGAUGCGUAGCCGACCUGAGAGGGUGAUCGGCCACACUGGGACUGAGACACGGCCCAGACUCCUACGGGAGGCAGCAGUAGGGAAUCUUCCGCAAUGGACGAAAGUCUGACGGAGCAACGCCGCGUGAGUGAUGAAGGUUUUCGGAUCGUAAAGCUCUGUUGUUAGGGAAGAACAAGUACCGUUCGAAUAGGGCGGUACCUUGACGGUACCUAACCAGAAAGCCACGGCUAACUACGUGCCAGCAGCCGCGGUAAUACGUAGGUGGCAAGCGUUGUCCGGAAUUAUUGGGCGUAAAGGGCUCGCAGGCGGUUUCUUAAGUCUGAUGUGAAAGCCCCCGGCUCAACCGGGGAGGGUCAUUGGAAACUGGGGAACUUGAGUGCAGAAGAGGAGAGUGGAAUUCCACGUGUAGCGGUGAAAUGCGUAGAGAUGUGGAGGAACACCAGUGGCGAAGGCGACUCUCUGGUCUGUAACUGACGCUGAGGAGCGAAAAGCGUGGGGAGCGAACAGGAUUAGAUACCCUGGUAGUCCACGCCGUAAACGAUGAGUGCUAAGUGUUAGGGGGUUUCCGCCCCUUUAGUGCUGCAGCUAACGCAUUAAGCACUCCGCCGGGGGAGUACGGUCGCAAGACUGAAACUCAAAGGAAUUGACGGGGGCCCGCACAAGCGGUGGAGCAUGUGGGUUAAUUCGAAGCAACGCGAAGAACCUUACCAGGUCUUGACAUCCUCUGACAAUCCUAGAGAUAGGACGUCCCCUUCGGGGGCAGAGUGACAGGUGGUGCAUGGUUGUCGUCAGCUCGUGUCGUGAGAUGUUGGGUUAAGUCCCGCAACGAGCGCAACCCUUGAUCUUAGUUGCCAGCAUUCAGUUGGGCACUCUAAGGUGACUGCCGGUGACAAACCGGAGGAAGGUGGGGAUGACGUCAAAUCAUCAUGCCCCUUAUGACCUGGGCUACACACGUGCUACAAUGGACAGAACAAAGGGCAGCGAAACCGCGAGGUUAAGCCAAUCCCACAAAUCUGUUCUCAGUUCGGAUCGCAGUCUGCAACUCGACUGCGUGAAGCUGGAAUCGCUAGUAAUCGCGGAUCAGCAUGCCGCGGUGAAUACGUUCCCGGGCCUUGUACACACCGCCCGUCACACCACGAGAGUUUGUAACACCCGAAGUCGGUGAGGUAACCUUUUUAGGAAGCCCCAAGGCCCCCA
rnacentral:rRNA from 2 species